rnacentral:lncRNA from 1 species
CACAGAGACAUAAAAUAGGAAGAUGGAAGAUGGGGAAAGGGAGAAAAGGAAGAUUUCAAGAUAAUAAAUUAUCUGAGUUUGGUGUAAGAACAAAGGCAUCUCAUGUGUCUCGAGAAAUGAGUGAAAGUCAUGACCCAGUUCUUCCUCCUACUUUAACAAAAUGUGACUGAAGAGGAAGCCAGAUGUGUUCUAGGACAGACCAGCUGACUAACUCUUACUGUCAACAUACACUGUGCAAUUCCAAGACACAAGGGCAACUGAUAAAGAAGAUUAGCUUGGUUUUCCAGAAAUAAGUUCUGCUCUGUUCAAUCUCCUUGCUCAAUCUCCAUUCUCUCAUUCAUGUGGAAUAACAAGAUCUGCAAUAAACACCACCAGGUUGAAAAGUCAGGUUCUGGAAUUGGCUGUCUGGAUUAAAAUACUGGUUCCAUCACUGAGAAGCUGUGUGACCUUGCGAAAAUUACUUAAUCUCUUUGUGUUUCAGUUUUCUGAUCUGUAAAAUGAAGUCAAUAAUGGUGAGAAAAUGAGAAAAAUGCAUGCAAGCUUAGCAUAUUAUUAGAGUGAUAAAUGCUAACAAUUAUAAAUCAUGUCAGGGCCUCUACAUUAUUUUAGCAUUUACUUUCCUCUGACUAUCUGUACAUUACUGGAUAAAAAUAUUUUAUUGAUCACCAGAUAUUAAACUCCUGUGAAUUUCUGUGUGUUGAUGGUGAAGUUGGUGGGAGGAUGGUGAUGAGACUUACUUGAAGACAGGAAUGUAUGUGAGUUGACCAUGUCAGUAAGCUGAGAUACUGUCAAUUUCUGAAGGAUUCCUCUGGCUGAGUCUACACAGUUAAGAAGUAUUAUAUAUUUCUUGAUGUCUUUCCUAAUGUCUAACUGAAAUUCUCUAAUUGUCUCAUGUUUUAUUCCUCAUUUAUGGAGAUGCUGGACAGCAUUAAAAAAUAUUGAAACGUGAAUACUUGAAAACAAUUACUGUAUCAUUUGUCAAUUCUUUUAAAAAAUAUCAAAAACCCAGUUUAUUUGGCCUUUUGUUCUAGACUUCAAUUCUACUUCUUUGGACCCCUUCUCCCUGAGGCUGAUAGGGCAGCUGGCCCCUGUGUGGGUGUUGAUGAAACCCAGACCAGUACAUAGUACUCAGUUGGGCAUAGUACAUUCUAGGCGCUAAGACAGGCAGCCCCUUUUCUGAGGCCUCCCUUGGCCAGAUAUGAUUAAAUAUUUAUCAAACUAAGGACUCAGCUUACUUGGAGUGAAAACUCUUCAGGGCCUCUCAGAGAUACCUAAGAUAAGUACCUUAUUUUAGUAGCUCUCAAAUAAAGCUUCUUUUAUGCUCUGUCUUUUUCAUAUAUAAAAUAAGGUCUAAUUAGAAAGUUUUAUAAUGGAGGCAGUCAAUUCCCCAAUUCCUUAUUUGUUUGAAUUAACUUUUAAAAAAUUGGGGUGUUCACUCUGGCGUUGGCUCAAUCCAGACUCUGUAAUCAGCCAACAAUCUGUGCUUCACAAAGGCUGGCGUCCUAACUGCCAGCUUCUGCCAUCCGCACCUUUUCCGUGGGGUAAUACAUUUUAAUUGGUACUUCUCUGAGAGCCCUACACAUCUCCAUCUGGCCAAAUAAACAUACUUUUACUAUUCAGCCUCAACAUCUUGGCAGUUAACAAGAGGACAGACUUGCCACAAUGGGUAAUCUUUAAGAUGCAUAAAAUCCUAAAAUUAAAGGACCAGGUACAGGUGGUAUAAUCAAUGGCUGCCUAGAAGAUGGCUCAUCUACAAAGUGGCUUUGUGUUCCACAGUCUUUUUAACACUGCUCUUGUGAUCCUAAAUGCAGUUCCUGAGCCGAGUCAGCAUUGAGAGCUCUCUCCUCUCAAAGGGCACAUUAGUGAUGAAAUAUUUCACUUCCAAUGACAGCAUAACUUUUUGGAUAUAGGCUUAUUAGCAACGUGUUUCCACUGGUUGGAUUGAGCAAGUGUAACCAGAAGGCAGAAUGGUGAAAUGGUUAAGAGCAUGGGUUCUAGAGUCAGGCUGCGUUCAAAUUCUGCUGCUGUUAAUUUAUCUUUGUGACCUUGGGCAGUUACCAUACCUCUCUGUGCCUCAGUUUCCUCAUCAGUAAAGCAGAGAUAAUGUCAGUAUUUUCCUCAUAAGAGUAUUGCAAGGACUGAUUAAAUGAGAUAAGGUGUCUGAUAUGUUUAGCACAGGGCAUGACUUGUAUUUGCUAACAAUUAUUUUUAGGCAAGGUCAGUAGACCAAAUAACUUGAGCAGCAGAAAGGAAGUGGAAGGCGAAUAACCAGCUAUGAGGUUAUUUCUCAGAUAAUUUCUUCCUAUUUCAAUGCUUCACUUUUUACAGUUUAAUCAUCAAGCAACAGUGUUAGGGAUUACGUGAGAUAAUAUGGUCUGUGUGCUGAUUCACUCAUUUAGUGUGGUCUCAUUUCCUUAAAGAACACAUCUUGAGAGAACACUUUUUUUCUCUCUAACCCUCAGGGUCAUCUGGAUGAAAUGAAUACUUUUAGGGCAAAAUGGCUGAUACUGCUUCCUUGAUAACCACAUAUAGAAAACUGACAACUGUUUAGAACAAAGCCAAAGAUGAAACCAAAUAUAAAACCACUGAUGAAAACUAAGUGAAAAAUAUAAGCAAAAUAGAAGAAAAAUAAGGUCGUUAUUUCAAGAAAACGAAAGACAGUCAAUGCUGUUCUUUGUAUUCACAUACAAUUUGGUUCACACCAAAAUGUGAGUUGUUCUCUAUGAGAUGUUAUUAAAUGUUCCUAAGAAGACUCGCUUUAGAAAAAAACAGUAUUCCUAAGGCAUGUCCAAUCUGUCUCUUUUCUUAAUUGCUAUAGUUCUACUUUAUUAUUAUAAUGUAUUCAGCAUUAAAAUUCAUUAUUUCCCAAUAAGCUUGACUUUAUCUUAUAAUGAAAUACAACUGUCUUCUUGGUGAUUUUUAUAGGAGAUAUUAUGGAAAUAUUUUAUUAACAGAAGUAAAUAAAGUGUCAUAUCAUUUGGCUUUUCAGCCGUGUUAUAACAUUUGCAUUUUGUUUUUUCUGCCUUUACCCUCCCUGCUUCUAGCUGCAUAAAAUAAUGCAUUUUAAAAAUAAAAAUACAUUAUUUUUCAACAUAUGUGUGACAAUAAAAAGAUCACUGGGUCAGGGGUCAGACGAUCUGAGUUCUGCCCUUUCAUUUUCUUAUCUGUAAAAAUGAUUCCUAAGAUUCCUUCUAUUACUAACAUUUUAUAAUCUACAUUCAAAUUUUAUGUGAAAGUUUAGUGCAUCCGAGAUAACUAUUUUCAAAUAAGAAUCUCUUUUGAUGCUAACAUCUAUGCAUCAAAUUCUUCAUUCUCAAGUUGUAAGUUGCUCUUUACAUAAUUUCACCUAUGUACAUAUAUUCUAUAGAAAAAAGAGACAUUCCAGUAUCUUAACAAUGUCAAAAAGGAUAUACUGACACUAACAUUAACUGGAGAUUGGAAGACUAGACAAAUCAAGGCUAGAACUACAUAAGGGAAGCUAUUCUCCCAAAUACGCUGUUUUUGCUGUUGUUUAACCAAAGAUAUCUUCCCUUUCAUUCUUCUUUUUUAAAGCUAAGGAUAUUUAAGACAUUAAUAUGUUUGGCUAACUGAUUAAUAAUUCCUUCUUUUAUAAGGAAAC